rnacentral:rRNA from 1 species
GAUGAACGCUGGCGGCGUGCUUAACACAUGCAAGUCGAACGAUGAAGCCCAGCUUGCUGGGUGGAUUAGUGGCGAACGGGUGAGUAACACGUGAGUAACCUGCCCUUAACUCUGGGAUAAGCCUGGGAAACUGGGUCUAAUACCGGAUAGGAGCGUCCACCGCAUGGUGGGUGUUGGAAAGAUUUAUCGGUUUUGGAUGGACUCGCGGCCUAUCAGCUUGUUGGUGAGGUAAUGGCUCACCAAGGCGACGACGGGUAGGCGGCCUGAGAGGGUGACCGGCCACACUGGGACUGAGACACGGCCCAGACUCCUACGGGAGGCAGCAGUGGGGAAUAUUGCACAAUGGGCGCAAGCCUGAUGCAGCGACGCCGCGUGAGGGAUGACGGCCUUCGGGUUGUAAACCUCUUUCAGUAGGGAAGAAGCGAAAGUGACGGUACCUGCAGAAGAAGCACCGGCUAACUACGUG